CUCAGUUUGUUUCUCAGAGUCCAUAGUCUCUCAUGGUUUGUCUCCCCCUCCAAUUUCCCCCCCUUCAUUUUUCCCUUCCUGCUAUCUUCUUCUUCUUCUUUUUUUUUUUUAACAUAUAAUGUAUUAUUUGUUUCAGAGGUACAGAUCUAUGAUUCAACAGUCUGACACAAUUCACAGCGCUCACCAUAGCACAUAUCCUCCGCAAUGUCUAUCACCCAGCCACCCCAUCCCUCCUACUCCCCACCACUCCAGCAACCCUCAGUUUGUUUCCUGAGAUUAAGAAUUCCUCAUAUCAAUGAGAUCAUAUGAUACAUGUCUUUCUCUGGAGGGUAUUAUGCUGUAAACAAAUUUUAUGAUGUAAUUUGUGUUAUUUAAUUCAGUGUGUUGUAUAGAUGUAGCAAUGAUUUAGAAUUUAUCUGAAGUGAAAUACCUCGUGAUCUUGUUUCCUUCUAAAAUGCCACAUAUUUUUCAGAAAUAGUCUUCUAAGCUUUUUUUCUGUCACUCACAUAUAUUUCAGAAGCAAUUGCUGUAGUAAAAGGUUAGUCUUUGAAGGGUUUCAUUGUUUUUCUGUCUCCUUAAAGUGUCAAAUAUAGGGACAUAGAAAGAACAAACAUAUUGUAUUGAACGAUCUAUCAUUCAUUGGAAGGUGAUGGAUGGGGUCAGACUCAUUCAGGCAGUAAAUUCACAUCCAUUUUCUCAGAAAGCUUUUUGACAUGGUUUUGGAAGUCCUCUCUUUAUGUGAAAUACUAUCUCCUUCUUUCUGUUGCUCCUCUAUCCAUUUCCUCCUCCCUCAUUUAGAAGGCAGUGAAAUUUUAGUUACAUUGAAGACCUUUUUAAAAAUCAAACACCUGAUGUGUUUAAUGAAAGUCAGUGCUUUGAUAAUCUAGAACUUGCCAAAGAAAAUGAAUUACUUUGAGUUGUCUUCUCAUCAAAUUCAUUAAAAUGAGUUAGAGGCAGAGGUAAUUAUUUGUUUCACACACUGAGAAACAGGUGUAGAUGCUAUUUGGAGAUCCAAAUGAACAUGCCAAUUAGUACAUUAGGUUUAUGUGCAAAUGUAGUCUCACUUAAUUGCUGUGUCUGAGAAAAUUUGCCUUUUUUAUGAAGUGAGUUUUGGAAAACUAGCUGUUCAUUCACGAGCUAUGAUGAUGGAAUGCUAAUGAGUGAAGAGAGAAUGUCUACACACUGCAUCUGGACCUUUUUGGAAAUGCCAAAUUUGCAAUGCCCUGGGUUCUGCCCCCAUGAUUAACACUUUACAUUAUUGUAUGUAUCACUGGGGAUAUGGUACUGCCUACUGCCUUAAGCACAAAACUAUAGAAAUGAGUUCUGAUAGAACAUAUAUGUGUUGAUGAUGGGAAAAUAGAAAAAUAUGAGAUAUUUUAGAGGAAUUUAGGCAGGAAAGGGCAGAAAAGCAAGGCCUUUCAGAUCUGAUACUGCAUUUCAAGAGAAAGAGAAAAAUUAGAAAAAAAACAUCUGUUUGAAAUAAUCUUGCUAAGGAUUAGUGUUGAGAUUCCUGAUUUUUGGUUUCUUUUCCCUUAUAUUUUUAUUUAUAAUCUAAUGGAAGAGAGUGAGAGGAAGGAGGCUAACUUUGUGAAUGCUAUCAUCUGACGUAUAAAUUAUGAUAUUUUUAGGUCAGGAAGAUUAUAAAUAUUCAGCAGAAUGAAUUUCCAUGAAGCAAGCAAUAUAUAAAAUAAUUUAUUAUUUAGAAACCUCACUUAUGCCAUGUAAGUUACUAUUUGUGGUAAUUGGUUGGCGAUCUAGAAAUAGCACCUCUUAUGAAAAAUGCUGGUGCUCUUACAACCCAGCCACUUGUUGGAGCAUCUCUGUGCUUUGUUUAGGACAUGAGGUUAUAAGGGUAUACAAGGGUUGUCUUGGCAGUGAUGGGAAAAGACAUGCCAUUCUUUCCUGAGCAAAUUUAUAGCAGUUAUAAAUACUGGGUUUGUUCAGAGCUCUUUGCUUUUGCAGCAAAUAAUUGGAAAUAAUUUUUAAAUAUGAUUUUUGACAAUGGUAUGUUUUGAAAAAACUAGUUAUGGAAGUAUAGAACAGAAACCAAGAAACAGACUCUUAACUAUAGAGAACAAACUGAUGGUUACCAGAGGGGAGGUGGGUGCGGGGGUUAAAUGGAUGAUGGGGAUUAAGGAGGGCACUUGUGAUGAGCACUGGGUGUUCUAUUAAAGUGUUGAAUCACUAAAUUCUACACCUGAAAUGAAUAUUACUCUGUAUGUUAACUAACUGGAACUUUAAUAGAAACUAAAAAAAAAGAAAAAUAUAGACCAGGACAUGCUAGUAUAAAUUAAUCUAAUCUAAUCCCUCUUGUUCAGGGAUUUGUAGAAGCUGGCUUACCUGGUAGUUGUUACUUGGCCUGUACACAGAACAGCCAAUUUUAAAAAGAUUUACUACAUAAUAUGCAGAAUAUUUUUUCAUUCAAAAAUAUUACUUAAGCAUCUCCUUUACUACACCUUGGGACAAAUGAAAGUAAGCUCAAAUCUAUAAUUGGUUCUGCCAUCCCUCAACAAACUUACAGUCUAAUUGGGAAGACAAGGCCUGGUCUCAUGAAUAAAACAGAGCAACUAAAAAGAAGAAAAGAAACCAGAGUAGCAGGCUAUGUAAUCCACAUACAUGAGAAAUAUAGUUAUUUUAUAUGCAAUUAAUAUUUUUUUCAGAACAGUUUUUUUCUCAUAAUAACUUCUUGAUUGAAACAAUGAUGAUCUUUUCUCUCUAUUCUCACCAUCCUUUGACUGGCUUUUUGAUAUUUCUUAAAAAAAGAAAAGAGGGCUUUAGCUUUUCUCGGUAUUUAUGGCCUGUCAUACUCCUUUGGUCUAAUUAACUGCACAUAGAAUGAGAAGAGCUUAGAGUGUUGUUACCAUCAACAACUUAACAUCAGUCUCUCCUCUUGAACAUCUCUAGUGAAUGUAUUUUUGUUUCCUCUGAUAUUGUUCCUAAUCCUCUUCAUUUUACAUGUAUGCUUUUGCUUGUUGUUUCUCUUGGCUUAGAGUUAAGUCUAUGUGCUUCUUGGAAAGGAAAUAUUUGUUGAGAAGCUAAAAAAGCAGUAAGUAGAAUUUACAGUUGGUGUUAAGUUUGAUAUCAGUGAUAUACUUCAUUAAAGAAAACAGAUUUAAAUAGCCUCUUCAGUCUAUAUUAAACUUUAUAUAAGGUCUGAAUAUCUGUAGCAUUUAUUUGCCAUAUUCUAGAGCUAAAACAAGCAUUUUUGAGAGACAAGACUUUGUUCUGCUGGUAUAAUAGUCCAUUUUGUUAACCAUAGGCUCCCAGCUGCUUCUUAAUGAGAUACAAGCAUAAUUCAGAGAAAAAUAGACUAAGAAACCAAGACUAUUAGUAGCAAACGAUGUAAUAAGAGUUAGAAAGGAAAGAAUAUGAGCCACCAAGGAUUUUUUUAUCAGGCUACCCUGUGGUACACUCUUAUUGUGGGCAGACACAAAUUAAGAUUCAACAUUACAUUCAAAAGCCACCAACUGUUAAAUUGGCAACUUUAUGAUGGCAGGAGGAGAGGAGAGACCUAAAAAUUCUUGCAGCUCUGUGUAAAAGGCAUCUUUAGAUUGAUAUUUGUAAUGUUUUAACUUUUUUCUGGAUAAUUAAAAAGAUUUUCGAUCCAAGUUGCUUGAAUUGUGAUUACUGUCAAGAGUGCUUAAGCCCGAUAGAUAUAUUGGAAAUAGUGUAAUUUUUCAAAUGUUAUAAAUUGAUCAUUUUACUAGAUAUUUUCUGUCUUUUUUAGUAUGUAAUCACUCACAGGUUAGAUUUGACACCUAGCCAUUGCCAAAUAUAUUUUAGAUGCAUAUCUAAAUUGCCAAAUAGACAAACAAACAGAAUUCUGGUAGACAGAUAGAAGGGUGUCCACUCACCUGAAAGAUGCUGGAGUAAUUUAUCUCUCAUUUUGUUGAAGAAAGUCUUCAUGGAUGUCACCCAAAGUGAACAACAAACAGCACUUGAAGGAGUUCACGGAGCAUAAGCAUCCCAUGUACAAAGACCAACCACUCUGACAUAAAGUGUCAUCCAAUUCAUCUUUAUGCAGUGCUGCGGAGAUGAGCCAGGCACUUGUGCAAUCAGCAUGAGGAAACUGUGAGUUAGCAAUAGUUCAACUUCAAGAUUAAGUUUUUAUAGUAGAGCUACCUAGUGGGGCUUAUAUGACAAGGCUCAUAUUUUUUUUUGCCUCUUCAUCCCCUUAUCUCGAUUUUAAAUUUGACUGCUUUACUCUUUAACUAUGAUGGUUUCUUCUUUCUGAGAUGAGGAAAUUAAGGCUCAGAGAGAACAUUAUGGAAUCACUGACUCUCCUAUUUAGAAUGGAACACAGAGAUAUCUGAGUCACAAGAACCCUGAUGUGAUAUCCUGGUAAUGCUGAAGAUGUGAUUACCUCUUCUUAGAGGCUAAGAUACCUUUAGGCUUGAUAUCUAGAAAGUAUUCUCAUCUUGAAUCAAAAAACAUUUGGAGGCACACACUUUAAGUCUUUUGCAUAAGACAGACUGUCAGAUAUGUAAAGAUUGCUCUUAUCAUUGCAGUCCACAGUCCACUAGGCUAAUUCUUCAGGUAGGCCAAUGGUUGAGUAGGAGUUAAAAUUCAGGUCUCAUUCUUCCCAUACUUUAUUUUUUACCCCUACCCCCAUGCUGUCUAGGGAACAAUCCAGGAUAUAUAAGUAGGAAAGAGCAAGUUGUCAUUGCCUUCCAUGAAAAUCUUACCAUAAGAUUUUACUAAUAUUUUUAUAUAGUUGAAUUUUCAAAAAAUGCUCUAUAAAUGUUUACAUCCAGAAAUUGCAAUAGAAAUUAUGUGAUAUUAGAAGUUAUGUUAGCUUAUACGAUUUCCAAAAGGUUAGAAUGAAGAACUUUACAACUUAUGGAAAGCAUCAAAAUCAGUUUAGCCAACUUUCGAAGAAUAUUGGGUGUACCCCACCUAGGAAAGAAUGAAAGAAUAUAUUGCUUUUAAACCUGCUUCCUAUUUGAUAAACUAUAACAGCCAUGCAGUAUGUACAGAUUGGCUCAUGCAUUUUUUUCACUUUACUGUAAUGGUCACUUAUGAAACAAUUUAAAGCUACUAGAUAGGAAAAUAUCAUGACUAUGCUUUUUUAAACUGUCCAGGGAAUAUAAUAAUACUUGCAAAGGCAUUUUUAGCCAGAACUUUAUGAUAAUCUUAACAGUUGACAGAUGUGAUUUGCUCCUAUUUUGUCAUGGUUAUUUUGAAUGGGGAAAGAUGUGCCAUUAGAGGAGAAGUUCUGCCAGCUAAUUAGCACAUUAGAUGUUUUAUCAGCCUUGCUGGCUUCCUGCACAUAGUAUGGUUCAGUAUAUUCAGGUUUAUUUGACAUGAAAAAAUGGCGGUGCCUUUUACAUAUGAACCAAUAUAAGUAAAAAUAUAUAUUACAAUGUGCUAUGGUUUGAACGUAUGUAUCCCUCCUCCCCCAUAUUCAUGUGUUGAAAAUCUAAUGCCCAAUGUAAUGGUAUUAGGAGGUGUGGGGCCUUUGGGAGGUGUUUAGGUCAGAGCCUGCAUGAUUGUUAUUAUGUCCUUAUAAAAGAAGUCCCAGAGAGCUAGCUUGUCACUUUUGCCUAAAAUACAAUGACAAAUCUCCGACUGGAAGAAGGCCCUCACCUGACCAUGCCGGCACCUUGAUUUCAGCCUGUGCCAGCCUCCAGAACUGUGAGAAAUAAAUUUCUGUGUUUUUUUUUUUUUUUAACUAAAACAGUUGACAAUUUUAUUUCCACAUUUCACAAGACAAAUGAAAAUUGAUUUUUUUUUUUUAAUCUCACUACUCCCCUGCCAAAACUAUUCUCUCUUUGAUAGGAAGGAGGAACAAGUCUUCCUUGUCCUGCUGUUAAAAAAUACCUAGAGUCACACCACCAUUAUCUCCUGGGGAAG